CUCUCUGGACUGCAGGCUGACUCUAACCGCUGAGCAAAAUCGACCAGGGCCAACUAUAUCCUUUCUUGAACAAACAUCUGUGUCCUCUUAAUCCGCGCCUCCCUCUCCCCCAAGUCUUGCACUUGUUCCUUAUUUACUCAGCAGGAGACCUGACUGGGACUUGGAUUUCUCCUCAUCACUUGCUUCCCCAAUCAAGAGCCCAAGUUCAACAGCCUUGGGCUCUAGAGACUCCUAUUGUCCCAGAGAGACUGAAUUGGGUUGAGGCCCAUAGCACAUCUUCUCUCUGGGAUAAGGUACUAUUCUUAGAUCCCAGGCUCAGGUGACUGAGGCAUUAAGGCAAGCUGUGCAGGCCUGUUGGAAGAGUAAGAGCAGCAGAAGUACCAAAUCUGUUCCCUGGAAGCAUCACUCAGGUUGCUGCAGAGGGGCCCAGAGCUGAAGGUUCUUGUCCUAGAGCAACACCUGGAUGGGCUGAGAAGGGAACUACAGGGCCUUGGAAGCAGGUGCAGGAGCAGACCC